rnacentral:lncRNA from 1 species
GAUGGAGUCGAGGACGACUUCAAUUCAAGAAUGGGAGGAUGAUGAGGACAUCACCAUGCUGGACACGCACGAGUCAUGGUCUUCCCCAAGUAACAAUUCGUCACCAACUCGGUCGUCGUGUUCGUUUCGGAUUCAGCCGACACUCCUGCACGGUUUCAGCCAUAUCCCCCUCAUAUGACAUCGAAACGAGACGUUCUUUGAUGCGUUGGAACGGGGACGACGACGCCGUUCUUUUGGUUCUGGUUCUAGCUCCAGAAGGUUCGUGGAUCAUUCUGUGUGAUCACAACAAGAUGCUGCAUCACCAGUUUUGGGCCAACUUGGCCUUGUAUCGUGUCGGGUCUUAAGCCCAAGUUGUGGGCGCCUCCCUUCGUAGUCGCCCCCAACUCUAGUUCGC